AUGCAGGUCUCUUGAGGCCCUCUAUAAUCGGAAUGAACGUAUCCUUAACCACAUAUGGGUGAGGAACCAAUUGGAGGGCGCAAGUCUGGUGCCAGACAGCCGCGGUAAUUCCAGCUCCAAUAGCGUAUAUUAAUUUGCUGCAGUUAAAAAGCUCGUAGUUGGACUUCGGGAGUUGGCUGGCGGUCCGCCGCGAGGCGAGCUACCGCCUGUCCCAGACCCUGCCUCCUGGCGCCCCCCGAAUGCCCUUGUUUGGGUGUCCGGUCCUCAAGGGUCCGGAGCGUUUACUUUGAAAAAAUCAGAGUGUUCCAAGCGGGCACAAAACUCGCCUGGAUGCUUAAGCUAGGAAUAAUGGAAUAGGACUCCGGAUGGAUGGGACUCCGGUUCUAUUUUGUGGGUUUCCUGAACCAGGGCCAUUAUUAAGAGGAACGGCCGGGGGCAUUCGUAUUGCGCCGCUAGAGGUGAAAUUCUUGGACCGGCGCAAGACGGACGGAAGCGAAAGCAUUUGCCAAGAAUGUUUUCAUUUAUCAAAAAUGAAAGGUUGGGAGGUUCGAAGACGAUCAGAUACCGUCGUAGUUCCGACCGUAAACUAUGCCGACCCGCGAUCCGGCGGCGUUAUUCCCAUGAUUUCCGACCGUAAACUAUGCCGACCCGCGAUCCGGCGGCGUUAUUCCCAUGACCCGCUGGCCAGCGUGCGCGGAAACCAGAGUCUUUGGGUUCCGGGGGGGGUAUGGUUGCAAAACUGAAACUUAAAGGAAUUGACGGAAGGGCACCACCAGGAGUGGAGCCUGCGGCUUAAUUUGACCCAACACGGGGAUCCUCACCCGGCCCGGACACGGAAAGGAUUGACAGACUGAUGGCUCUUUCUCGAAUCCUUUCCGUGUCCGGGCCGGGUGGAAAGGAUUGACAGACUGAUGGCUCUUUCUCGAUUCUGUGGGUGGUGGUGCAUGACCGUUCUUAGUUGGUGGAGUGAUUUGUCUGGUUAAUUCCGAUAACGAACGAGAUCUGGUGGUGCAUGGCCGUUCUUAGUUGGUGGAGUGAUUUGGUUAACUAAUUCCGAUGACUAACGAGAUUCCUUCGGUUCCUAAAUAGUUACGCGGCCCCCCCCGGUCGCGGUUAACUUCUUAGAGGGACCAGUGGCGUAUAGCCACGCGAGAUGGAGCAAUAACAGGUCUGUGAUGCCCUUAGAUGUCCGGGGCUGCACGCGCGCCACAAUGCCGGGCCAGCGUGUGCCUACCCUACGCCGAGAGGCGCGGGUAAUCCGCUUAAACCAGUUCGUGACGGGGAUUGGGGAUUGCAAUUAUUCCCCAUGAACGAGGAAUUCCCAGUCAGCGUGUGCCUACCCUUACGCCGAGAGGCGCGGGUAAUCCGCCUAAAACCUUCGUGACGGGGAUUGGGGAUUGCAAUUAACCCCCAUGAACGUGGAAUUCCCAGUAAGUGCGGGUCAUCAGCUCGCGCUGAUUAAGUCCCUGCCCUUUGUACACACCGCCCGUCGCUACUACCGAUGGGAUGGUUAUGUGAGGUCCUCGGAUCGGCCACGCCGAGGCUCCUUCGCGGGGCCUUGGUGCUGUGCUGAAAAGUCGAUCGAACUUGAUCAUCUAGAGGAAGUAAAAGUCGUAACAAGGUUUCCGUAGGUGAACCUGCGGAAG
rnacentral:rRNA from 1 species